ensembl:lncRNA
GAGAAGAUUCUGUCAGAAACCCUCGCCGCUUGUUGUUGUGAUGCGCUAAUGCGAAGAGAGAGUUUGAAUUUGUGUUUAUUUUGUUGGGCUUUGAAGCUGCCGGAAUCAGAGACUGCAAAAUAGUAGAAGGGAGAAGAAACGUACCCGAGAGAAGUAAACAUAUGGAGCAAACUACCGCGGUGUGCUCCACGGAAGCCGCUUCCGCGAAGGGACAGUAUCUCUAGUUCUUCAUGGUUGAGACACCCGCCUGGUGGUCUGCUGUUUGCCAGGGCCUGCCCGCAGAGAGGGGCUUGACAAGCAGAGCGCAGUGUUAUCCAACGCGAGCUCUGCUUUGCUGCAGGCGGCUCCAUCCCAAACCUCAGCCCUAUCUUGAACAAACAUCACACAGCCGAGAUGAAAAAGAGGGAAAUCGAUGCAGGGGAGAGCGCGCCGUGUAGAGAGCCUGGCUUUGCUUUGAUCGAAGGUUGACUGACAAGACCUUCAGCCCUGUGAUCUCCGGCAUGAUGAAGGACCGGAGCCAUGGUGGUGCAACAACGUGUGUUUGUUGUAUUUUGUGUGGUGUAGGUUUUGUGUAUUUGUGUAUAUGUUUUUUUAAAAAAAAAUUACUUGAAAACCUAGCAAGCCGCCUACGGAGGCGGUAUUUUAAAACUUCAUAGGCACUCUCCUGACACAAAAUCUUUUUCAAAAGGUCAUCGUAAUUAUGCUGCUGCCUAAGUUACCAUCUUUAGGUCAAAUUUUCAAGUGGAAUCACUAUGCUAAGACAGAAAAUUAUAUUUAUAACAAAUAAUAUAAAUAAAUAAAAACAGCAUUGUUAUUGUUAAAGGAGU